rnacentral:rRNA from 1 species
AGAAUGAACGUUGGCGGCGUGGAUUAGGCAUGCAAGUCGGACGGGCCGCAAGGCCAGUGGCGGAAGGGUGAGUAAGGCGAAGGUAACCAACCCCAGGGGUGGGCAUAGCUGGGGGAAACUCCGGGUAAUUCCCAGCGACGUGAUUUGUUGGCAUCAACGGAUCACCAAAGAUUUAUCGCCCUGGGACGGGCCUUCGUGGUAUUAGGUAGUUGGCGGGGUGACGGCCCACCAAGCCUGCGAUGCCUACCGGGCGUGCGAGCGUGGCCCGGCACACUGGGACUGAGACACUGCCCAGACUCCUACGGGAGGCUGCAGUCGAGAAUCUUCGGCAAUGGGCGCAAGCCUGACCGAGCGACGCCGCGUGGAGGACGAAGGCCUUCGGGUUGUAAACUCCUGUCGAGGGGGAGGAAGGGGCAACCUUGACCGAUCCCUGGAGGAAGCGACGGGCUAAGUUCGCGCCAGCAGCCGC